UACGAGGGGGGCAAGUGUUGUUCGGAAUCACUGGGCGUAAAGGGAGCGUAGGCGGGCUCUUAAGUUGGAUGUUUAAAACCGGGGCCCAACCCCGGCGUGGCAUCCAAAACUGGGAGUCUUGAAUGGAACAGAGGCUAGUGGGAUUGGAGGUGUAGCGGUGGAAUGCGUAGAGAUCUCCAAGAACACCCGUUGCGAAGGCGGCUAGCUGGGUUCAGCAUUGACGCUGGAGGCUCGAAAGCGUGGGGAGCAAACAGG
rnacentral:rRNA from 1 species